rnacentral:rRNA from 1 species
AGAACGAACGCUGGCGGCAGGCCUAACACAUGCAAGUCGAACGCUCGUAGCAAUACGGGAGUGGCAGACGGGUGAGUAACGCGUGGGAACGUACCCUUCGGUUCGGAAUAACCCGGGGAAACUCGGGCUAAUACCGGAUACGUCCGCAAGGAGAAAGAUUUAUCGCCGAAGGAUCGGCCCGCGUCCGAUUAGCUAGUUGGUGGGGUAAUGGCCCACCAAGGCGACGAUCGGUAGCUGGUCUGAGAGGAUGAUCAGCCACACUGGGACUGAGACACGGCCCAGACUCCUACGGGAGGCAGCAGUGGGGAAUAUUGGACAAUGGGCGCAAGCCUGAUCCAGCCAUGCCGCGUGAGUGAAGAAGGCCCUAGGGUUGUAAAGCUCUUUCAGCGGGAAGAUAAUGACGGUACCCGCAGAAGAAGCCCGGCUAACUUCGUGCCAGCAGCCGC